CUCCAACUCCUCCAGCCAGCUGAAAUACUGCCAGGCUCACUGCAUGUGCGAGGCUAUCCGCGUUUUCCUGCAGAUUACACGAAAGGAGAUUAGAUGGGCACUAGCAUCUAUCAGUAACAAAUUUCAAGACUCUUAGAAGAUUUUGAGUUUUCCACUUGUUUAAGGCAGAACUGUCCUAGCUUACCUGCGAGUCCGCUUCUGCAUAUACUCGGACUAUAUCUUCUGUACCAGAAGGCCGGACAAAAGCUCGGGAAAGCUUGUACUUCUUCACCAGGUCAUUGAUGGCCUCCUGUAGCCCCGGAGGUGUAACCACUUGUCUUUCAG